rnacentral:misc_RNA from 1 species
UUUUAUGUUUUUUUUUUUUUUGUUUGUGAAUUGAAAUAUCGUUUUAUUUGUAAAAAAACAAUCCUUACAAGGCAAUACAUUCAUCUUUUUACUGAGCCGUGACUAGAGACAAUGCCCUCGCUCAUAACUUACACCGACCACUAAGGAUUCCUUUUACAUUAAAAUAUCCUUAACACUAAAACAAUAUAAACAACAACGAUUUAAUUAAGUACAUCACAGACAGUUCAUUGCGUUGAGGCACUCGUUUCUCAUAUAGUUUACGUAUUUUUAAAUCGUAAUAAAUGUACUUUUGUAUCAAAUACUGAAAAUUUUUAGUUCAUACCGUAUUCAUUUACAAUCAUACAAUUAUCAUUAAUCGAAGAAUCGUUCUUGUUGCGUUACUAACUAUAUAUCAUUUAAAACAAUUACAUUAUAAUAUGAGUUUUCAAUUUAAAAAAUAUGAAUAAUAUAGUUAUCAUUUCUAUUAAUGUUGAAAAUAUCUAAAAAUAAAUUUUAUCAAAGAAAGGCCAUAAAAAAUACCAUUAAAACAAAUAUUAAGCCCCCGAGAAUUAAUGUUACAAAUUUAAUUAAUUUUCUAACGAAUUUAUUAUUUCACUUGAAAAUGUUUGUCAUUUAACCAUCAUAAGUUAAAGUCAUACAGUCAUCGUGAUCGUAUCGUAUUAAACAAAAUUAAUUUAUAGCUUCUGAAUUUCGUGGCUCAAGUAACUUCAUUCGUAAAAAAUAAGUCAUAUCCAUAUAAUUUAUAAAGUUUCAUAAAUAAUUUAUUGAUUUUAAUAUUAAUUAGCAUAGGAUUUUCAUAUUUUGUUAAGUUGUUACAAAAU